rnacentral:tmRNA from 1 species
GGGGUCGACAUGGAUUUGACAGCAGGAUGGGGUGCUCGGUAAGCACGCAGAGAGUUGGUGGCCGCUCUCUUUAAUCAAUGACUAUCAGACAAUUAACUGGCGAAAACAACUACGCUCUCGCUGCCUAAUCGAAGUAUAGUAGAUUCUUGGCUUAAUCGCGGUACCAGGUGCUGCGACGAGAUGUCACUCAGAGGCUAACGCCCUGAAGCGCUCUGAUAAAGUGGCACAGCAAAAUCGGGGAUCGUCGAUGGGUGGCCUCGCACUCGCGAUUAAAUCUUAGAGGAUAAGGCGUUGGUUGGUGGCUUGGGUCUUGCUAACGCACGAAAAUGAAGACCAAGAUAAGCGUGUAGAAAGCUCAGGACUUCCCUGUUUGGACGAGGGUUCAAUCCCCUCCGGCUCCAC